rnacentral:rRNA from 1 species
UACACUCCUGCGGGAGGCAGCAGUGGGGAAUAUUGCACAAUGGGAGCAAGCCUGAUGCAGCCAUGCCGCGUGUAUGAAGAAGGCCUUCGGGUUGUAAAGUACUUUCAGCGGGGAGGAAGGCGAUAAGGUUAAUAACCUUGUUGAUUGACGUUACCCGCAGAAGAAGCACCGGCUAACUCCGUGCCAGCAGCCGCGGUAAUACGGAGGGUGCAAGCGUUAAUCGGAAUUACUGGGCGUAAAGCGCACGCAGGCGGUCUGUCAAGUCGGAUGUGAAAUCCCCGGGCUCAACCUGGGAACUGCAUUCGAAACUGGCAGGCUAGAGUCUUGUAGAGGGGGGUAGAAUUCCAGGUGUAGCGGUGAAAUGCGUAGAGAUCUGGAGGAAUACCGGUGGCGAAGGCGGCCCCCUGGACAAAGACUGACGCUCAGGUGCGAAAGCGUGGGGAGCAAACAGGAUUAGAUACCCCGGUAGUCCCA